rnacentral:rRNA from 1 species
UACGAGGGGGGCAAGCGUUGUUCGGAAUUACUGGGCGUAAAGCGUGCGUAGGCGGUUCGUUAAGUCAGCUGUGAAAGCCCCGGGCUCAACCUGGGAAUUGCGGUUGAAACUGGCGAACUAGAAUCUGGCAGAGGGGGGUGGAAUUCCACGUGUAGCAGUGAAAUGCGUAGAGAUGUGGAGGAACACCGAUGGCGAAGGCAGCCCCCUGGGCUGAGAUUGACGCUCAGGCACGAAAGCGUGGGGAGCAAACAGG